rnacentral:lncRNA from 1 species
GGAAAGCUGCAGAUAAUAAAAUUGAAAAAACAAAAAUGAAGGCAAUCUUGAGUCGCUUGUCUUUCUUGCAAAUUUUCAAACUCAUGUUUUCUCGAAAAUAGCAAAAAAAUAGCAAAAAAAAAAAAGGAAAAAUGAUAAACCAAAAACAAAGGUUGCAGUGUUAGGCUUUUCCGAGGUCAAAUGUUAAAUCAAAAAUAACAAUUUGACAUUUCUCUCAAGAUGUUUGUGCGCAUGUUGCUUGAAAACCUUCACCCUUCAGUUUCCCCAAAAUAAAGGAUCUUCCCCAACAAACACUGUCACUGCCCUCAGUAACAAAAACCCUUACACUGGGGCAAAUUGGCCUGACCAAAGGUUUUCUCGCUUGCGCUAGUAGGGUGAUCCCUGAAUCCCAUAGGACAAAUUGAAAUUGAAAAAAAAGAAAAAAUUGAAAAAAGAAAGACAAAAUAAAAAAAAGAAGACUAAGCCCACUAGAUUGAAAACCCGAAAGGGCAGUCUAGAAAGGAAAAAACAAGAAACAAAAAGAAAAAAAAAGUGACUCAUGUUGAGGUCAUCCAGUCGCAAAAUUAAUCUUUUGAAAAUAAAGCAAUCAGAGUUCAAAAUGAUGUGUGGCCUUCUUGUUUUACCUAAAAGCAAAAAUAUAUCCAUUGUCACCCUAUUUGAGCCAAAAAUAAAUUCUUUUUUCAAGAUCAUCCCCAAGCAAGGGUUGUCAUCAGGUAGGAGUCAACCCAUGAUGCAAAUAAGAGCACUCAAUGAUCAAACGAAGAGAAUUCAUCAAGAAGAGUGAAUAAUAAACAAAGAAAAACAAAAAGAACAAUAAAAAAUCACAAAGUGAUGUUGAGCAAAAAGAAUGAAAAACGAAGUUCAAGAAAAAAGCAAAGUGCUCAAAAGGUCAAAUAGUUGAUGCAAUGUCUAGAUGAUAACCUUUGUUGCAAAGAAUAUAACCGACAAACAUUCAUUUGAGCCUUUAUACCCUUUCUUUCAAUACCUUUUAGCCCCUAGCCACGUUACAAGCCUGAUAAAGUCCACACUGAUUGGAUAAUGAUUGCUCAAAUUUUCAUAAAGCUUAAGUUUGCGAUAAGGUGACUUUCACAACGUCGUAAAAAAUUUGAAAAAGAAAAAAAAAGAGAGAAGAAAAAAGGUAAUGUCUCGGGAAGAGGGAUCACCCUACCAUCUAACCAAAAGCAUGGCAAAAGGAAAUCAAACCAAUUGGGGGUCAUCCUUUUAACCUAUCCUUUUCAUACCCACUACCUCUUUCAAACAGAACCACGCGCCAAAGAAAAAUAGGGGCAACUUUGUGAAUCUCACGCGAAGUCUUCGCCCUGAAAUUCAUCGACCCAUAAUCUUAAGACUGGGGCAGCUUUAAGGACCGCCUUUGAAUUUUCACCCUAAUUUUCAUGAAUCCAAACCCCAACUCAUUUUCCAUAACACCAAGCUGGGACACCCUUUGUACAUCUCGUGUUCACCCUGACAUUCUCAUGUCACAUCUCCUUUGAGGAUUAUGAGGAAUGACUUGUCGAUACAGUUAUCCCAUUCUCCACUAAACCCUUAUAAACAUUUCUCAUUUCUCCACUUGCC